rfam:Aspergillus terreus NIH2624 scaffold_3 genomic scaffold, whole genome shotgun sequence.
AGCAUGUUAGCUCAGGGGAAGAGCGCCGGGCUCAUAACCCGGAGGUACGUUUCACCAUCUCAGUUCAGUUCAAUUGAAUACCAAUCUAACAUACAACAGGACCCUGGAUCGAAACCAGGACAUGCUA